CAAUUUAAAUUCUAUAUAGAAUUUUCAUUUACAUUGAAAUUAAAAUUGUGAAAUUCAAUUUAAAUUGA
rnacentral:tRNA from 1 species